CCAGAGGAAUUUUCCUAAAUACUCACGUAGCUGGAAAUGUCUCAUAGAGUCACGUGGCUUUGCUUUACUCACGGAACUAUUUGUUAGAUCUGUGGAAAGAACUGCAGGACAGUA
rnacentral:snoRNA from 1 species